CCUACGGGGGGCAGCAGUGGGGAAUAUUGCACAAUGGGCGCAAGCCUGAUGCAGCGACGCCGCGUGGGGGAUGACGGCCUUCGGGUUGUAAACUCCUUUCGCAACUGACGCGGUAGGUUGAGAAGAAGCACCGGCUAACUACGUGCCAGCAGCCGCGGUAAUACGUAGGGUGCGAGCGUUGUCCGGAAUUACUGGGCGUAAAGAGCUCGUAGGUGGUUUGUCGCGUCGUGUGUGAAAUUCCGGGGCUUAACUUCGGGGUUGCAUACGAUACGGGCAAACUUGAGUGCUGUAGGGGAGACUGGAAUUCCUGGUGUAGCGGUGAAAUGCGCAGAUAUCAGGAGGAACACCGAUGGCGAAGGCAGGUCUCUGGGCAGUACUGACGCUGAGGAGCGAAAGCAUGGGGAGCGAACAGGAUUAGAUACCCGUGUAGUC
rnacentral:rRNA from 1 species